rnacentral:rRNA from 1 species
GACGAACUCUGGCGGCGUGCUUAACACAUGCAAGUCGAACGGAAAGGCCCUGCUUUUGUGGGGUGCUCGAGUGGUGAAUUGGUGAGUAACACGUGAGUAACCUGCCCUUGACUUUGGGAUAACUUCAGGAAACUGGGGCUAAUACCGGAUAGGAGCUCCUGCUGCAUGGUGGGGGUUGGAAAGUCUCGGCGGUUGGGGAUGGACUCGCGGCUCAUCAGCUUGUUGGUGGGGCAGCGGCUUACCAUUGCUUUGACGGGUAGCCGGCCUGAGAGGGUGACCGGCCACAUUGGGACUGAGAUACGGCCCAUACUCCUACGGGAGGCAGCCGUGGGGAAUAUUGUACAAUGGGCGGAAGCCUGAUGCAGCAACGUCGCGUGCGGGAUGACGGCCUUCGGGUUGUAAACCGCUUUCGCCUGUGACGAAUCGUGAGUGACGGCAAUGGGUAAAGAAGCACCGGCUAACUACUUGCCAGCAGCCGCGGUGAUACUAAGGGUACAAGCUUUGUCCGGAAUUUAUUGGGCGUAAAGGGGUCGUAGGGUGGUUGAUCGGCGUGAAAAGUGUAAUCCGUAGGGCUUGAACGUAGAGCGUCUUUUUGAUAAAGGUUGACUUGAGGAAAGUAGGGGAGAAUGAAAUUGCCCGGUGGAACGGUGGAAUGCGCAGAUAUCAGGAGGAACACCAGUGGCGAAGGCGGUUCUCUGGGCCUUUCCUGACGCUGAGGAGCGAAAGCGUGGGGAGCGAACAGGCUUAGAUACCCUGGUAGUCCACGCUGUAAACGGUGGGUACUAGGUGUGGGGUCCAUUCCACGGGUUCCGUGCCGUAGCUAACGCUUUAAGUACCCCGCCUGGGGAGUACGGCCGCAAGGCUAAAACUCAAAGGAAUUGACGGGGCCCCGCACAAGCGGCGGAGCAUGCGGAUUAAUUCGAUGCAACGCGUAGAACCUUACCUGGGUUUGACAUGGAUCGGGAGUGCUCAGAGAUGGGUGUGCCUCUUUUGGGGUCGGUUCACAGGUGGUGCAUGCCUGUCGUCAGCUCGUGUCGUGAGAUGUUGGGUUAAGUCCCGCAACGAGCGCAACCCUUGUUCACUGUUGCCAGCACGUUAUGGUGGGGACUCAGUGGAGACCGCCGGGGUCAACUCGGAGGAAGGUGGGGAUGACGUCAAAUCAUCAUGCCCCUUAUGUCCAGGGCUUCACGCAUGCUACAAUGGCUGGUACAGAGAGUGGCGAGCCUGUGAGGGUGAGCGAAUCUCGGAAAGCCGGUCUCAGUUCGGAUUGGGGUCUGCAACUCGACCUCAUGAAGUCGGAGUCGCUAGUAAUCGCAGAUCAGCAACGCUGCGGUGAAUCCGUUCCCGGGGCU